GCCUACGGGAGGCAGCAGUGGGGAAUCUUGCACAAUGGGGGCAACCCUGAUGCAGCGACGCCGCGUGAGCGAUGAAGCCCUUCGGGUGUAAAGCUCUUUCGGCAGGGAAGAAGCGCAAGUGACGGUACCUGCAGAAGAAGUACCGGCUAACUACGUGCCAGCAGCCGCGGUC
rnacentral:rRNA from 1 species